AACGAACGCUGGCGGCAUGCCUAACACAUGCAAGUCGAACGAACCCUUCGGGGUUAGUGGCGCACGGGUGCGUAACGCGUGGGGAUCUGCCCAAAGGUUCGGAAUAACUCAGAGAAAUUUGAGCUAAUACCGGAUAAUGUCUUCGGACCAAAGAUUUAUUGCCUUUGGAUGAACCCGCGUAGGAUUAGCUUGUUGGUGGGGUAAAGGCCUACCAAGGCGACGAUCCUUAGCUGGUCUGAGAGGAUGAUCAGCCACACUGGGACUGAGACACGGCCCAGACUCCUACGGGAGGCAGCAGUGGGGAAUAUUGGACAAUGGGCGAAAGCCUGAUCCAGCAAUGCCGCGUGAGUGAUGAAGGCCUUAGGGUUGUAAAGCUCUUUCAGUGGGGAAGAUAAUGACUGUACCCACAGAAGAAGCCCCGGCUAACUCCGUGCCAGCAGCCGCGGUAAAGU
rnacentral:rRNA from 1 species